AUCUGUUGAACAAAAAUCGAAAACGUUUAGCAUGGGGUGAUCUGUUGAGAUAUUGAAAAGCGAUGAGAUAAAAUUGUCAAUAAAUUUUCAGCAGAUAGAUUUUUGAAAUAAUUAAAAGUUUGAAGUUUUACAAAAUUUAGCACACUUGAAAGUACAUUCCUCAAAUAUCGCAAAUGCAUUUCUUAUUUCUGCGUCUCUCUCGUUUCUUUCUGUGCAAAUAUGUUAAGUGUAAUGUAGAUGAAAAAAUGUAGAUAACUAUGGUGUAUACACACAUACACAGUUUAAUUUAAUUAAGUAAAUUUGCAUAGAGUGCUUAAGCGGAUAUUUAAGCGUAUCCGCUAAUUACGGUUACAUAAAAACGUGACGACGGCUUCUAAACUAAUUCGCAAAUUAAUACGGUAAUGCCCGUGGCACGACUGCGCACGAUAUAAUUUCUGUACGGUUCUUAUGACUGGCGCAUUGCAACUGAAUAUUCCGUUGGUAACUUCAAAUGAUAUUUAAAUAGAAAUGAAAAUAUUUGUCGUUAUUUUCCUCUAAUUCUACCGGGAAAUAAAAAACAAGUCAUAAUUUGAUUAAAAUAUACACGUACUGUAUAUUUUAAUCAAAUUAUGAUUUACUUUUCAUUAUGAUUUGAUUAAAAUAUGAAAAUGGUAAUUUUUUUGCAAACGUCCAACGGACGUUGGACGAAGGGAAGGAAGAAAAACGAAUAAAUUCCGGAAAAAGGCACGAAGAUAUAAUUAAUACGAUAUAAUUAAUUAUAACUAAUCAGACAUGAUAUAACCGAUAUAACUAAUUAUAAUAGUUUAGCGUCGCUAUUGGGCAUUUUAAUUAAAUACUGCGGCUAAACCUGCGAGUGACACGUAGCCAGCCAUUACAGAAAUGCGUCAGAGCUGAAAAUGACGUCAAAAUUAUGAAUGCAUGUUGUUACUCCAAACACACGUUAAUAAUAAAUACAUAUUCUCGGGUUUUCAAUUGUUAUCUCGUAAUAACUUUCAUUGUGCAUUCGUAAACCGCGUCCCUUAUACGUACGCGAACAAUGUAAUUAUCAUAUAUUUCAUACACGCAAAAUGACUACACGUAUUAUAUCUCUAGGAAAGAUCUGGUUAAUUAACCCGGGUGUAGAUAUGCACGCUGUUAAAAUUUAAAUGAAAGCGCGUCUACUCGUAUAUCAAUUGUCACGAUCUUUGCCAGCAUUAAUAUCUGUCGGGCACGUGCGAACCCGUCGCGAAAAUCGCGACUUCCCGAAAGCGAUUAAAGAGAAAAAGCCAGUUUUGAUUUUUCGUGAAAGUCAGUCUGGAUUAUCUGUAACAUUUUAUCGAGACUAUCGUAUAAUUGCGCGAGAUGUUGCAAUACAUUGCAAAUUUGCUUGCUCACGUUAUAUUUCAGCGCGUACAAACGCUCCCCCAUCUCAAAGUCCCGCGUCUAAUUAUAGUAAAUCAAGAUGAUUUUCUCUUUGGAUUGCCACCAAAGACGCUCAAGUGUGCUCGCUAAUUAGAAUUAAGCAUUUAUCACGAUUCUCGUCAGCAUUAAUAAAACCAUUAAAACGCGUGCGAUACUAUCGCAAUAAAUUGCGACUUUCCGGAAAAGAUGAGAGAUAAAUACAAUUUUGAUUUUUUUUUCGUUGAAAAACUAGUUAGCAACAUAUUAUAUAGAAGAUGUGUUGUGCGCGAGACGUAGCAACGUUGCGAAUACUCGCGACGUUUUAUCGCGCGCGAACGCUUUUCUGUCUCUCAAAGUCCCAUAUCUAAUUACAGUAAAUCAAGUUAAUUUUCUCUUUGAACUGCCAUUGAAUAUGCUUUGCUAAUUAGGUGUUUGCUCCACGUAAACUCACACAUAAAUGAUACGUCAGAGAUUUUACUACCGGAUCGAUCUUUGUCAUUAAGAAGCAACAAGAAGCUUAAACAGGAAACUCCGAUGUAUCUGCAUCGAUUUUAUAAAGAUAAUUUUGGACUAAGUAAUUUUGAAUGAAGUAGAGUAUAAUUUUGAGCCUUAUAACGAUGGGACUCUUUGACAAAUUGAGAGCUUAAAUUUUAUUAGACUAAUUUGCAUACAAAGUGAUUCUAAAACAGGUUGUUAAAGGCAAGACGUGCUCUUUGACACGUUCGAGGACCGAUCUUCGUUGGUGUCUCGAGCCGUCCGCGAUCUUUUAAUUUUCAUCAACGAGCGAAUCUCGAGUAAACUUCCGAUUAUAAAUUUGUUUAUGCCAAAUUCCAUAUCGGAAUAAUAAUAAUAAUCUUGUCAUUUAAAACAGAAAUAACGCUCCUUUCCAUACCUGACGUUUCCAUAUCCGAAAUUUAAUUACUGAGAAAUUUAUUUUCCGCUCCGUUUAUGAGGAUAAAGAAAGAUCGUUGGUGCUUCUUAAUGCUAAAAAAAGAUUGGAGAAAAGGCACGGUUGACGACAAAGUUUAGUGGCUUGAUUUCAAAUCACGUAAACUCCAGACCCCAGGAGUUUGAUUCGUUUCUCUCAUUUAUCCUUCCCUCCGCCCUUCGCCCGUCCCUUUGUCGACGACGAUCUUCCGUUUUUCUACUCGGUCUCGCGCGCCUCUUACCCCGGCAAUGCCGGGAUACUUACACCGCCCAUUUCGAAUUACGACGUCAGCAACGAGGAAAAUCGCACAGAUAGUUCUCGGAACUAAAUGUCCGUGGAACGAGCGGUCGUUCGACGAAGAGGAAUUUUUUUUGGUUCGCGUGAGGAAGCACCGUACACUUGGCAUUCUAACAAUUACUUCGACGUAUCAACCUCUACAGAAGGAACGCGCGGAAAUUGCAGUUGUAACUCGGAUAGUGGCAGUCACGACCGUCGCUAUCAUAUUUCGUCGUUCCGUCGCAUUUUAUAUAAGUCACUUUAUGAAACCAGAGUGGGUCUCUUCUCGAGCAGGAAGUUAUUCGUGUGAACGCUGCAGGAAUCAUAAGUAAUAUUCGCGUAUUCUUCUCUGCCGUCGUUUUUGCCGUCGGGCGGAAGUCGAGACAUGAUGGUCGACUGUGCCAACGUCGAUUAUCUUGUGAAUCAUCAGCGAUCCCGACGCUCGCUCGCUCGUGUCUUCUUUCAUUUUAUUUCCAAUCUGCAGGAUCACCGUAUUCACGGUACAUCUACACGGAGAAAAAAAAACCUAAGGUUGCCGCAACGGAAUAAUAAUGUUAUUACUCUCCUAUCCAAAGAGUUGUGGGAACACCGCAGUACUUUGGAAGUGAUCCAUAUGGUUCCCUCAACCUUAACGCGUAACAAGUGUUCAACUGCUAUGCUUAUGGAUGUUACAACUAUAAUCUAACCGUAUUAUCAGAUGACGACGGAAUGCUGUCGAAAAUAUAAUAGAGUCUGUUCACAUGCAGCGCUUAGCAGCAAAUUGAUGACAGAAGCACAGCAGAUCUACGCGUAGUUUAACAGAAUGGCGAUAGAAAGCGAGCAGAAUAUCUCUCUUUAUCGCCAAUAUACUAUUAGAUUAACUCGGGUUACACCAGCGAACUCUGCCGGAAGAAUAUGAAUUUAAUGCGGACGCAGUUGCUGCUGAUCUGCUGAAAUACUAUAGACAUUUCGCUGACUGAAAUACAAAUAUACGCGCAAGAAAGAUAUCACGAUAUAACACACAUUUUAUGUGAAAAUGCUUUCGGGAGUCGGUAGUAAUACUACUUCUGUCCAUUCUAUUACUGUCAACGGAACUGAGCUCUCAGUGCUAUAGCACGCUAUAUAGAUCUUUCGUACUAUUUGUCCUGUAGAUCACGGUGGAGACAUAACAAUAAUCCUUCGCGGUCGAAGCAACCAUGUAUGAAAGCAUUUUAAUCAAAUGUUAUUCGUCGUAAAAAUUACGGUUGCGAGAACCGUAUAGAUGGACAUAUCUUGACAGCUGUAUUCAAUGCAAUGUCAACAUAACUUGAAUUCACACGCGUUUCUUUUCCAAACAUAGAAAAUAUGGUUGUGACAACCGUAAGUAAUUUUUGUCCGACGUAAGGAUCUAAUUAAAUGUACAGGUUCUAGACUUGAUGUGACAGCGCGCGCGAAUUUCGGAACAGUUUAAUCCUUAACGAUCACGGGGCCGUCUGUGUGACCUCGACGGAAGUUUUGGCCAAAUCUUCUCUACGUUAUUUCAAUAUCGAACUUCUGUCGCCAUAUAACGACAGUUACAAGUUCCCUCGAUGCGAGGAAGUUACCCGAAACACGUCAGUUCGUUUUCGUCAAUUUAUUUUCUCACAAAUUAUUCUCUUAUACCAAAUUAAAUAUCUUUUUUUUUUUCAAAAAACGUGCACUGCUUUUUUCCCUUAAAGUGCUAUAUAUAUCUAAAGAAUAUACCUUAAAAUUUUUUUGAAAAAAUAUUAAAAAUCUAAAAAGUUACAAUUUUUUAAAAGUAAAACAUUUUUUUUACGUUCAAUAUCUUUUUGGUUCAAUAAUUUUCUACAGUGUUCGAUUUAAAAUUCAACAUACCAUGAAAUUAAUUCACAUUUUACACCGUUUGAAUGUUCAGUAAUUUUUUUUUACUUAAAACAAUUAAUAAUUUGAACGCGACAAACAUUCAAAUUCAGUUGGGGCCAUUUUGACCCAAUAUAAUCGUUAUAAUAUUUUACUGAAGUGUGAUCGUUAAGGAUUAAUUAGCUAACUUUAAAAAUCCUUCGCAUUUAAAAGCUAUUUUAACCUCGACAUUUUGGUAUUAAGAUUUUUAUCUCGAAAUGAUGUCACGGAUCUGUCAUUAACGGAUGUUUCGGUGAGUUUGGGACAUCCUGUAGAGAUUAUAAUUUUAAUUUUUCAAAGAUUGAACGCAUUCUAGCAUGAGAAUAAAAACCGUGUAUAACGGGAGCUUUAAACAGAGAAUUUAAAAAUUAAUAUUAUUAUUAUUAUAUAAUAAGUGCUCAUAGAUUAACCUUUCUUCGAUUCCUAGACGAGAAAAAGGAUAAACUUAACUACUUUAAAGUUAAAGUUGUCGAGUAAGUAUUCUCGUUGCGAAGACGGAAACGUGCAGACUUGGUGGUCUAGAAGUUAUUCUAGAUUUCGUGGGGGGUCUUUCAACGGCGGUCGACAUUAUUCACGGUUUUACCAACAAUACUGCGUCUCGAAGGGCGGCGGCCCCCUUUGUAAAGUUUCGAAAGUGGCUUCGUGAGAGGAAAGCGAUCUCGCGAAGACCGUCGAUGGUCGUCGGCGCGAAUCACUGCGCUUCUGACGUCAUAAUCCAGCCCCGCCGGUUGAUGGCUCGGUAGACAGAUGGGAAAUUGAUGACAGAUGGAAAAAUCCCACGAGUAAGAGAAAGAAAAUUUAUUUCAGAGGAUAUUGACGUUGAAAAUUAAGGAAGUGCGGAAGGAGAUGACUGGAAGAGCUGAACAAUUUUAUUUUUUUUUCCGGAGGUGAAUUCCCGUUUAAAUCACCACGUUUCACCCACCUAGGAGAUAAUGGUGUCGUCGGCCACUUAGUCGCUCGCGCGACUUGGGCGAAUAUCUUAAUUCACCGUAUAAAUAUCGCGAUAACGAUCGCAGAGAAAAGAGAAAGAAAGAGAUGAGAGGGGAGAGAAGAGGCAUCGUCGUCGUCGUUGGCGGCGGCGGCGGCGCCGAUUAAAAGCCGGAUACACGUACGAUAAAACACGAGAACUUGUUCCGCGAUAAGCCCGCACCUGAGAAGCGGAAGAAUCCACGUCCGUAAACUUAUUCUUUCUGGCGAGGGAAGGGGAAGAAGAAAAAGAGGAAGGGUGGAAGGAAUGCCUCCGAAAGUGCAGAAUUAUGGUCGACUUUCGCGUUAAGUUAAAUACACACGCAUAAAUUCUGUCGUUUUAUACUCACGUGUGUUGUGAAGUAAAUGGAGAUCCUUAAGUAGGUCUUAUUUAAGGAAAAACAAAUUGCCUUUAUACGAGAUUACAAAGACUUUUCUUUCGCGUAUUUUAUUCUGCGAGCUCGGCGCGUUACGCCACUUACUUCAUUCCUCAGUUCCGCUUUUGUUUUAUGCGUAAAACAAAAAGGGGGAAAAAACGAGAAGUAAUGCAAAACAGAAAGGAACGAUUAAUGAAAACGGAACGAUAAUAAUGGGUCCAUGGGUACAUUCGCGCCUUCAUUAAAUGGCAGAGAAUUAUACCGUACCUAAUUAUUUAAUAAAAACAAAAAAAGGACAGAAUAAAAAUGCGCACCUUUGUGAUUUUCUGUUCUCUUGGAAUCUGUUCGAGAGCUACAAAAUGAAAUUAAAAACCGAAUAAUUGAAAUUGAGAAAAGGUCAUAGCAGGAUCUUUCAAGUGAUUUUAUACACAGUUUCUAUUUCUUUUAAACUAUGUGUGCCGUUACUUUCGGUUUCGAACACAGCUCUUAAAUUAAAUCGGAAAAAUAAUAUCGCAGAACUAAGUUAACAAUCAAUUUAAUAUUACUGAUGCUAAUUUUUUCUGAAAUGGAGGAUCAUGGAGAGGCCAGUUAGCAUCAACAUAAUAUUAAAUUGCUUGCCAAUUUAAUUCUGUAAUAUUAUUUUUUUGACUCAAUUUAAAGAUGUUUCAGUUACACAAUACGAGCUAAAAGUUACCAAAAUUUAAAAGACUUCUUUAGGUUUUUUCUUUUUUUUCUAAUUAACAAAAAAUUUUAAUCGCAAAUGUCCAAAUUUUAAUCUUGAAAAUAGCUUCAAAGAAAGAAACAAUGAAAAAUUUAAUUUAUAAUGGUUUCUGCAAUAAAAAUUGCUAUUUUAUUUGCAGUUUUAAAUAAAUAACUUUAAAUGAAUAAGUGGAUCUAAAUAAAGUUUUGCACGAGUAUUUACUAGUCUUAUUAAUAUACGUAAACAUUUUGAUUUAAUUACUUUCCAUUAACUUUGCACACAAAUAAAUAUAAUGCAAUAUUAAUAUAUAAAUAUAUAUAAUUAUAUUAUCAAUAUAUUAGUAUAUAAAUAAUAUAAUAUUAGUAAUGUAGUACAAAUACUACAAAACGGGAUUUUACAUAAAAAUCAAGAGUAAACAAAAAAAUGUAAUAACUUUUAAAGCAAUAAGUAAAUCGUGCUAAAGUUUUACAUAGAUACUCAAACGUAAUAUUAGAAUAUUCUAUAAAACUUUUAUAUUUUAGGUAAUGUUUUGAGAUAUGAUUCAUGCAUCUUUAAGAACUGUGUUUGAAAUUAACGACGCAUAAUUUGAAAGAAUUAGAAAUUGUACGUAAAAUCACCCUACAGACAUUAUUUUAGUACCAAGAUCUGCCUUGAUUUAAAUUGUUUUAUACAAAUCACGGUUUUGCUUGUAAUAUUAAUUAUUAAAAAUCUAAAUUGAUCUUAAAAUACUAAUUUUAAAAGUCUAAAUUUAAUUACGAAUGAAUGGGAUACUUCGCCCAAGGGGAGCACACGGAUCCCAUGAAAAAGGUAAUAGAGUAAUUUAAUCGAGUAAUUAUUCGAGUAACAGCUCAUUUUUCUGGUUACAUCGACGUAGGUAUGUCAAAACCGACACUUCAGGCCGGAUUCCCCGUAUCGUUUCCCAGCCACCGGAGCAGACUUGUCCGGAAUCCAAACGCCGCCACACUUCACCUCUUUCUCUUUUUUUUUCUCUCCUACGGGUGAUCUUCGUUCGAACACGAGUAAGCGGAUGAAGUUGGACGUUUUUUGCUAGGCGAUGGAAUCUCGCAUCGCGCAGCGAAAUAGACAAAUCCGCCGGCGAUCCGAGAUUCGAGGGAAGAUGAAUGGACGGCCUAAAAGUCCGGCGGAUGCUUUGAAUACGUAUCGAAUAGAUCGAAUACUUCAUAGCUUCUGCAGCUGGUCCGGUGUGUGCGUGUGUCCGCGGGCGUGCGUGUGCGCCCGCGCGUGUGUAUGUGCGUGCGUGUGCGUCCAUGUAUGUAUGCGUGCGUGUGCGUGUGCGUGUGUGUGUGUGUGUGUGUGUGACGAAGUCAAAAGAAGUCGGCCGCAGCCGCUCUUCUGUGGUCGCACCGGGUAGAGAAUGACUCACGCUAUACAACCGGAUUCGCGAGAAGUGUGACAGGCGAAUAGCUCCAAAUGGUUUACGACAUGGGAAGUGUGUUUUUCGGAUCUCCAUAUAUUUCACGUGAAGAUCUAAGCAUGCGCCUCCGCGCGCGAAUUUAUAUUAUUUACGAGUUGUUUACUGCUAUUCACUUAUAUCUCAGUCUAAAAUACGCGUCAGCGAGCGAACGUAUUUAUUUUCCAUCCCAUUAUUUUCAUAGCUGAUCACCCUGUAACGCGCGCGUUAUACAAUACAAUAUUUUUCUUUUUAUCUAACGCGUAUUAAUCAUUCGCGAUGUAAAUUUUCAUCAUCGCGCGCCCGCGCUUGUCACGGAAACAUUUCUCCUACAUCAAAUGGACACAUCUCGAAAUAACAAUGAGAGCGAGAAGGCGUUGAAUUUUACAGUUUAAAUUUCCUUUCCAAUACGGUGAUGGAUGGGGUAAUGACGAUUGAUGGCGACUGCGCAAGUGUUUCGUUGAACGUUACGUUUUGCGUAUUAAAUUGAUCGAAAAAAAAUCAUCCGGCUUUCACGCUAAUGACAAAAGAGAGAACCGAAAGCGAAAGCUUUCAAUAUAAUGCCUUCAUGAUGCACAUUCAUCACUCACGCGUUGAUUGCUACAUUGUCGCUGCUCGUUUUAAUUUUCCCCAAGUAGACACCGAUACUUCGCGACGUGUCGACACCGCCCUAUCCCCCCCCAAUCCCUUUUCCACGGAAUGAUUUACUAAGUAUCGAUGUCCCACGUCUAUUUGAUACUCAAGAAGCUGAUGGAUUAUUGCUACCAGCGAGUGUGACCAGAACGAUGAGCGAGACAAGUACGAAUAUAUAUAAAAUGGAAAAGGAGACGUCGUCGACUGAUAUUGCCAAUCGCGCGAUAAGAUCGGCAUCAACGCUGUUCGCAUUUUCAAUGAUAAAUGACGGCGAUUUUUGCCGCGAUACUGUUGCGCUCGGUGCUAUCCGUGCAAUGUCCUUUGUAUCUCUCUCUCUCUCUCUCUCUUUCUCUUUCCCACGAUGCGGCUCAUACUUAUUUUUCUCGCUCUAGCCAUCUCUUUCUGCCUCCAUCAUCGCUUCUCUCUCUCUCUCUCUCUUUCUUCCACUCUUUCCUCUGUCUGCCCUUCAUGUCGAUUUUUCGCUCGACAGCCGCCAACACGCUCUUCUUUUCUUUAUCCCGCGUAGGAACCCUCGGCUAUUCCUUUUAUCCCCGCUUUUUCUGCACACUUAGAUAUGGCGCAUCGAUUAAUAAUGGACCUGCUUACAGUGUUGCAGCGGUUUCGACGCGGGUCGUUUUAUUCGUGCGAUCGUUAUUACUAUGUUGCAGCCACCACCAGCGCAAAACCAGUUUCGAUCCUGGCACUACGCUCGCAUCCGUGCUGUUGCUUAUUCCGUGCUGUUGCAUUAUACCCAUUGAUGGAAAACAUCUUCUUCCAAGUGUUAGGAAAGUGAACAGUCAUACUGGCGUAUAUUAUGGGAUUGUAGCAGAUGGAGGACUUCGCGAGGAGUGUUGGCAGCACCGCUACUAAAUGGGAGAAAUUGGAUGCAUCAACAUUAUCUUAGAUGAAGACUUAUGCUUAAUGCUUUUAUACGACUAUCGUAAAUUGAAAUUAAAAAAAAAAAGUGUUA